UCUAAAUUACUCAUACCAUCUUUACUUUAUGUAUGUCAAAGUCAUUUAAUGACAAACAUGAAGAUAAAGUAAUAUAUGAAACUUGUUAUGCCACUUAAAGCAUAUCUGUGUGAUAUUUAUCUCCAAGAUUCUUGCACUUGGAUCUAUCCUUUUCCUUCUGCUUUGUUCGCAGACAGUGUCAAGAAACUGGCACGACCAUAUAGCUUUAUGAAGUGGAGAGACAGGAUGCUGUGACACAAGACCAGACCUCGUAGCACACUUGGCUAAGUGACAAGACUGUACUUGCUGAUGAACAUACUUCACUGCAUCUAAAUAAUCUACAGCCUGUCUGUCUCUCCCUGAUGUGUCUGACUCAGUAACUGGGGAAGAAGUGUCUUCUAUCAAUCAAUGACAGAAAGUGCUGAAUCUGAAAAUGCUGACUGAGCACCACGGAGGGCAGUCAAGUUUCUGAUAGCAGUCAAGGGAAGUCAAAAAUUUCAAUAUGAGUGUUAAAUGUCUUUUCAAAAGAUAUUCAAAGAUUAAUCAGGAAGAAAAAAAUCAUACUCCAA